rnacentral:rRNA from 1 species
GAUGAACGCUGGCGGCGUGCCUAAUACAUGCAAGUCGAGCGAACAGACGAGGAGCUUGCUCCUCUGACGUUAGCGGCGGACGGGUGAGUAACACGUGGAUAACCUACCUAUAAGACUGGGAUAACUUCGGGAAACCGGAGCUAAUACCGGAUAAUAUAUUGAACCGCAUGGUUCAAUAGUGAAAGACGGUUUUGCUGUCACUUAUAGAUGGAUCCGCGCCGCAUUAGCUAGUUGGUAAGGUAACGGCUUACCAAGGCAACGAUGCGUAGCCGACCUGGGAGGGUGAUCGGCCACACUGGAACUGAGACACGGUCCAGACUCCUACGGGAGGCAGCAGUAGGGAAUCUUCCGCAAUGGGCGAAAGCCUGACGGAGCAAAGCCGCGUGAGUGAUGAAGGUCUUCGGAUCGUAAAACUCUGUUAUUAGGGAAGAACAAAUGUGUAAGUAACUAUGAACGUCUUGACGGUACCUAAUCAGAAAGCCACGGCUAACUACGUG